UAAAAAUACCCAUUAACUCAAAAUCAAAAUUCACGCACAGACAAACGAACCUCUCUUGCAUUUCCCAAGCACAGAAACAGAACCAUAAAAUUGCUUUCCAUUUCCCUCCUUCCCAACCUUUUUUCUUUAGAGGCCAUUUGCAGGUUUCUCUAAAAACCUGCUAAACAUACUUUUGUAUUCCAAGAACCUACGGUAUUUUCCAUCACUUCUUACCCGCACACCACCUGUUUGAUAAAACGCUAAAAGGAAAGUGAAAAGUGAACUAGCAGCGAUGGGCGUGAAAACAUUGCUUAAAUGGUCAAAACAAAUCACCCCAUCUAAAGUUGAGCAACUACUUAGAGCAGAAAGGGACUUACGCAAAGCUAAAAUCAUAUUUGAUUCCGCAAGCGCGGAGUACAGCAAUGGUUUUAGGCAUGAUCACACCACGUUUGGCGUCAUGAUCUCUAAAUUAGUAUCCGCGAAUGAGUUUAGACCCGCAGAGGAAAUGCUUAUUAGAAUGAAGGAAGAGAAGUGCAGAAUUACUGAGGAGAUAUUCCUUUCAAUUUGCAGAGGCUAUGGCCGGGUUCAUAUGCCAUUAGAUGCCAUCAGGGUUUUUCAUAAAAUGAAUGACUUUGGGUGCAAACCCACUGACAAGUCAUACAUCAGUGUGUUUGCUAUUCUUGUUGAAGAGAAUCAGUUAAAGGUUGCGAUGAGUUUUUAUAAGUAUAUGAGGGAAAUGGGUGUUCGGCCGAGUGUUGUUUCGCUUAAUGUUUUGAUUAAAGCCCUUUGUAAGAAUAGUGGAACGAUUGAUGCUGCUUUUGAGAUAUUUCGUGAGAUGCCAAAACGCGGGUGUGAUCCGGAUUCGUAUACGUAUGGUACACUAAUUAAUGGUUUGUGUAAAUUGGGUAAGACUUUUGAAGCCAAGGAGUUGUUUAAAGAGAUGGAGACAAAGGGAUGUUCACCGUCCGUUGUCACGUACUCUUGUUUGAUUCAUGGCUUGUGCCAGGCUGGUAGCGUGGAUGAAGCUAUGGGAUUGUUUGAUGAGAUGAAGAUGAAAGCCAUUGAGCCAAAUGUGUUUACCUAUAGUUCUUUAAUGGAUGGUCUUUGCAAGGAUGGGGGUUCUUUGGAAGCCAUGGAGCUACUAGAGAUGAUGAUCAAGAAGCGGCACAAGCCUAAUAUGGUAACAUAUAGCACGUUAAUUAAUGGGCUCUGUAAAGAAGGAAAACUUGCUGAAGCUGUGGAGAUUCUUGACAUGAUGAAGCUUCAGGGAUUGAAACCAGAUGCAGGGCUCUAUGGAAAAAUCAUAAAUGGGUUCUGCAAUAUUCGCAAGUUCCAGGAGGCUGCAACCUACCUUGAUGAGAUGGUUCUAGGGCAGAUCUCACCAAACCGAGUAACAUGGAGCCUACAUGUUAAGCUUAAUAAUAUGGUAGUCCAAGGCCUUUGUACGAAUGGCAACCUGGAUAGAGCCUUUCAGUUGUACUUAGGUAUGCGUACUAGGGGCAUCUCAAUUGAUGCUGUGACCUUUGAUUCUCUUGUGAAAUGUUUCUGCAAGAAAGGGGACUUGCAUAAAGCUGCUCGCAUUUUUGAUGAGAUGGUGCUCGAUGGAUGUGUUCCUGACCAUGGAAUAUGGAGUGCUGUGGUUGGUGGAUUUUGGGAUAGAAGAAAAGUCCGGGAAGCUUUUGAGUCGAUAGUGGUUGAACUAAUGAAUGAAUUUGUUGAGCAUGUAUAGAAAAUCAUGACGAAGAUUAAUGAAUUAGUAAGCACACUUGGCCCUAGUCUUCUUGUUCCAGUCACAGAAAACUCUCAUGUUGUUGUUCCUUCCUUCAAAAAUAAAGUUUCCAUAUUUUCUCAGCUGGUUUAAACCAUAGAUUCCCUCACUCUAUACAUGGUGAUGCCAUUAACAUAUGAAAUACCAACUGUUAGUGGCAUCAUUCCCAACUGCAAGGUUUAUCGCACUUCAACUUGUUUUAUCCUCAAUCAUUAUGCUUAUUUGCUAGUUUUUCGUAUUUACAGGGCAUUGGGCAUAUUUUCUUUCUCUCUAAUUGCUUUUCUAUGUCCCGACAUCUAUAGACACGCAAGCCUUUCUUGCAUUGUAUAACUCUUUUAGCAGAUAAGAAGAUUAAUAGUGAUGACAGAUGCAUAGAUGUAAUUUUAAGACAAGAGCAAGCUUGAAAGGGACCUUCCACAUGAUUUCUACUCUGUGCUGUAGAGUUAUGAGCACUAUUUUGUUACACAGCCGUAAAAAUCCUUGCUACGUGGUGUCUGGUAAAAUUUCAAGAACAACAGGUUCAUGGAUGGGUAUACACCAUGAUUUGUCCAAGUUAACUUAGAAAAUGGAUAGCGUAAUCGGUUUCUGAGCUUUAACUUUUUACUUCUUGUUUUAUAUUAUAACAAAAGCUCACCACAACUCUUUUUUUCAUGAGCACAUGUCUUGUAAUUCGUUGUAAUGUCAAUGCUUGUUUGUUCUUUUCAAAGACCCCAAAUAAUUUUCUUUCUCAUUGGACAUGCAUUAUCUCAUGGUUGAUCACUUUCUUCUUGUCAGAUGUACAUAUCCAUUGUUUAUAUUCACUGCAUUUUGUAAUUAUGAUUGAGCAACAAACUUAAUUCUGUAUCUGUUGUUGAACGAAUAGGAUGCUUUGUAAUCCGCCCAUGUUCUUACCCAUCCCCUUCCUCCUGCAAUCCGGUAUGUUUCUAAUACUCAACAUACUCUACGUGAAUGAAAUUAUGCGGCUGACUUUUUAGCUUAAGCUUGGUGCUUUGCAAAAGCUUCCUUGUGUGGAUUGGGAAUCUCAUCCAUGGAACGACAUGAUAAUUCCUAAUUCAAAGUGAAUAAAGUAGAUAAAUGAUGAAGACAUUCAAAUUGCCAAUUGGUGCCACUUUGUGAAGCUGGAGGAGGUUAAUACCCUGAACAGACAUAAUGUGCUAGUUAGCUGAGUGGGAAAAGCCAAUUCCACGAUGCUUAGAGGGAAAUGCUACAAACAACACGCUGCAAACAACAACUCCAACAUGUCGCAUGGUGCAUCUGCUGCAAAUGAAAGCACUGACAUAAAGGCAUGCAAAAAUUCAACAAACUUUAGGUGAUAUUUUUUGCUGAAAAUUCAGAUGGAAUGUUUUCUGAUGCAUCAAUAAUCCACAAACUGUGAAAUGCGGCAAACCCAUGACAGCCGUUUCCCUAAAGCUAUCAGUGAAGCAUGAUAGAAAACAUGACAAUCAGCAGAUGGCUAGAAGUGUGGCAAUCAAGUAUUGGCCUUCUGGGCUGCAGUUACCUUGCUUUGUGAUCAAGGGCGACAGAAGCUGAAAAGCAAGAACUGUUCCUGUCGGUAAAUAAAUGGCAAUGGCCAGUGCUUUGAAAUGUCUUGGUAAGAGCUUUAUGUUUCUAGGUCUUUUGCUCUGUUUCAACAGCGGAUGUACCUCCAAUUAGGGGGAGUUUUUGCUCAUUAUUAUUCUGGGAGUUCUCAGCCACUCCUCUAAUCUCCAUGACCUGGCACCUGUUGAUUCUGGCUACACUGUUCUUCAUUUCAGCUUCUGGCUCACAUUACAAGUCUAUUUUGAGGAACUUCAUCAAUUAUAUGCAGAGGAAGAAGUUGAACUUCAAUGCAGGUGAAACAAGGAAAAGUUGAUUUUAAUGCCUUGUAAAAACAGAAACUGAAAAUGGGAAAAGCUAUUCUAACCGAAAUUCUUGAAGGAGACUUUCUAUUAACAAUUAUUGGAGAAAGUUUUUUGUCCAUUAUGAGUUUAAUCUUUAAAAGGUGUCCUCAUAUGCACACAGACAUGCAGAGAGAGAAAGUGGGUUCCCCAUUUUUUAUGAGGUGCUGGUUGACGGAUGUGUUCCUGACGAGGCCACAAAGGGUGCUGUAGUUGGUGGAUUUGGCCUUGGGAUAGAAGAAAGGCACUGGAAGCUUUCGAGCUGGUAGUGGUUGAGAUGAUGAUUCAAACUAUCUUGACAGUUAGGUAGAUUUGGUUUAUAAUCUUGCUGCAUGGAACAAAAGGAUCCACAUAGCCGAUCUGACUAGUUUGAAACUAAGACUUUGGUGUAGUUGUUCUUGAGGUUGGGCUAAUCAGAAAAUCGGUUGAGCAUCUCCUUGUAAAUCUGGAUGAGGAUUUAACUAGUCGGUGCUAGUUUUCUUUUUCUAACCAUGUAAAACUUUCUCAUGUUGUAAAUCCUUUCUUUGCUAGCACA